AGACAAUAAUAAUAAUAAGAUGGUGAUGGGACCCAUCUGAUUGGUUCUUCUUCAUCCAUUUUUUUUCCCCUUCUUUCCUUUACUCACCGUGUAUUUAUUGGAGACAUAAAUGUUUCAGGUGCUCUUCAAGACCCCACGUACACAAAGACAAACAGUACAUAGUUCUGCAUCCCAGAACUACACACUACAAUGGGGCGAAUGAUAUAUAGUUAUAGACAGUGAGGGCUCUGGAGGGAAAAGCCAAAAGUGUGAUCUCUGCCUGAGGCAUUUAGAAGAGUCUGUGCCUUUCAUUUUAUUCUUACGCAUGCAACUCAGUUUCAAUAGAAUAAAAGACCUCCAUUUUCUAUGCAAUUAUCAUUCCAAUAAUAAAAUAAUUUUUUAAAAAAAGAAAGAAGUAAUGGGCAUGUCUGUGCAGAAAAAUGAAUACCUUGCACCAAGUGCACGGGCUCAUUUCUAAUUCCAUGUUAUUUCUUUUCACUCCACCAUCACCAACGGCAUGGCCUCACCUGGACAUUUUGAACAGGAAAGCCAAGCAGAAGCCUGACUCGCACUCCAGAGAAAAAGAAAUCAAACCUGGCUGAAAGUUUCGGUUCAGAAGACAGUUUGGAAUUCCUUUUAGAUGAUGAAAUGGACGUUGAUUUGGAGCCAGCACUUUAUUUCAAGGAACCAGAGGAGUUACUUCAAGUCCUCAGAGAGCUGGAAGAGCAGAAUCUUACUUUGUUUCAAUAUUCCCAAGAUGUAGAUGAAAAUCUUGAAGAGGUAAACAAAAGAGAAAAAGUUAUACAGGAUAAAACGAAAUACUGAUAGACUCACUUAGUAAAAAGAUUACUCAAGUAUACAAAGUCUGCAUUGGAGAUGCUGAGGAUGACGGCCUCAACCCAAUUCAAAAGCUGGUAAAAGUAGAAUCUCGCCUGGUAGAACUGUGUGACCUCAUCGAAUCCAUUCCCAAAGAAAAUGUGGAGGCAAUUGAGAGGAUGAAACAGAAAGAAUGGCGGCAAAAGUUUCGUGAUGAGAAAAUGAAAGAAAAACAAAGACACCAACAGGAAAGGCUAAAAGCUGCUCUGGAAAAAGCAGUAGCACAACCAAAGAAAAAGUUGGGAAGACGACUUGUCUUUCAUUCAAAACCUCCAUCUGGUAACAAACAGCAGCUACCUUUAGUCAAUGAAACAAAAACAAAAUCACAAGAGGAAGAAUAUUUUUUUACUUGAAUAAAAGCAGUAAGACAUUUUAUUACCAG
rnacentral:lncRNA from 1 species